rnacentral:sRNA from 1 species
AAGAAGCCGCUCUCUGAGAAAAAGCUGAAAAGGUAUUUUGUGGACUAUCGGAGAGUGCUUGUCUGUGGAGGAAAUGGAGGCGCUGGGGCAAGCUGCUUCCACAGUGAGCCCCGCAAGGAGUUUGGAGGCCCUGAUGGAGGGGACGGAGGCAACGGUGGACACGUCAUUCUGAGAGUUGACCAGCAAGUCAAGUCCCUGUCGUCGGUCCUGUCGCGGUACCAGGGUUUCAGUGGAGAAGAUGGAGGGAGUAAAAACUGCUUCGGGCGCAGUGGCGCUGUCCUCUACAUCCGGGUCCCCGUGGGCACGCUGGUGAAGGAGGGAGGCAGAGUUGUGGCCGACCUGUCUUGCGUGGGAGAUGAGUACAUUGCCGCGCUGGGCGGGGCAGGAGGGAAAGGCAACCGCUUCUUCCUGGCCAACAACAACCGUGCCCCUGUGACCUGUACCCCUGGACAGCCAGGACAGCAGCGAGUUCUCCACCUGGAGCUCAAGACGGUGGCCCACGCCGGAAUGGUGGGAUUCCCCAACGCCGGGAAGUCCUCACUGCUCCGGGCCAUUUCAAACGCCAGACCCGCUGUGGCUUCCUACCCGUUCACCACCCUGAAGCCCCACGUUGGGAUCGUCCACUACGAAGGCCACCUACAAAUAGCAGGUUCCCACCCCAUCCCCUAGGAAUCUGUCAGUUACAGUUCAGAAACCUGCAUUGAAAUUCCAGCCCUGAGGACAGUAUUUCUUCCCACUCUAUUUGUCCCCUCUCAUCUGUGGAAGCUCAGCAGCAUCACAACACAUGACUUAAAAGCUUUCCUUGUG